AUACGGAGGGGGCUAGCGUUGUUCGGAAUCACUGGGCAUAAAGGGCACGUAGGCGGCCGUGCAAGUCGGGUGUGAAAGCCCAUGGCUCAACUCGGGAACUGCAUUCGAUACUGCCUGGCUAGAGUUUGGUAGAGGGUGACGGAAUUCCAGGUGUAGCGGUGAAAUGCGUAGAUAUCUGGAGGAACAUCAGUGGCGAAGGCGGUUGCCUGGACCAAAACUGACGCUGAGGUGCGAAAGCGUGGGGAGCAAACAGGAUUAGAAACCCCGGUAGUCC
rnacentral:rRNA from 1 species